CAUCCUCCUCUCUCUCUCCUUUAUCAUCAUCAUCAUCUUAAAUCUCUCUCUCUCUUUCCUCUCUCUAAUAAUUCCGGCUAUUUCUUUGUCAGAUUCCGGCCAACCCUUUCUUCCUCUUUAUAUAUACCUAACCCCCUCCCUCUGCUCUUUAGCUUUCUCUCACAUUUCCACCUCUCUCUCUCUCUCUCUCUCUCUCUCUUUAACUGCUCCAAUACCAUCAUCCACCCGCUCCCAUUACACACUAUUACUACUUUAUGAUCAAACCUGGCCCAUAAAACUCCUCAAUGAAUUGGGCAUAAGAAUCUAAUCCUAACCAAUCUGACCACAUUUUCCAAAACUAACCACAAUUCUUCAGACCCCAAAUAUAUUAUUACCCAUCAAUUGUUUCCCCUUCCAUUUCUGAUCACAUCACUUGAUUUCAGAAGUGCCCAAAAAUCUGUUUGUGUUUUUUCUCUGUGAUGAACCGAGCUUUACCCGAGAUGUUGAACUGUAUGAACGCGCCGGGGACUUUUAUCGCCGGAAACUGUACCGACAUGACGGUGCUGGAGAGGCAGAGGGCCCGGAUGAAGUGGCAGCAGAGCGACCAUCAUGAUCAACAACAGCAGCAGACUCAGUAUAAUUUUGGCGGGGGCGAGCUUAGUGGGGUUUUCUCCCUUCCAAUUCAUGCUCAGGGGCUUCAGGGUUUUCUGAGUGGUAACCGGGCUGUGAAACCCGACCCGAGUUCCGAAAACGGGUGGGCUGAAUUGGGUUUCGGGUCUUGUGGGUUGGUCAUGAAUAAUAAUGGCACUGCAGGGUUUGAAGGGAUGGGUAAUGCUCUCAAUAACAACAUCUCCAGGACUUUUAGCUGCCCGCCCACUGUAGUCGCCGAGAAGACGUCCGGCGACACCGUUUUGUCUCAAAAGCUUAGCUUGCCGGCCGGGAAAGAAAGCUUUAAGAAGAGGAAGGCUGAUAAGGUGCAGAUCAAUAAGGCUGCUGCUGCUGCAGAAAGUGAUAGCACAGAGAAAAGAAUGAAAAGUUGUGCAGAAAAAGGGGACUCCAAGAUCACAGAGCAAACCAGCACCAAGAACAACGACGGAGAAUCUUCUGGUGAUACUUCAAAGGAUAAUUCAAAAGCUUCUGAGGUUCAAAAGCCUGAUUACAUCCAUGUCCGUGCGCGGCGAGGUCAGGCCACGGAUAGCCACAGCUUGGCUGAGAGGGUGAGGAGGGAAAAGAUCAGUGAAAGAAUGAAAUAUCUGCAAGAUUUAGUACCAGGGUGCAACAAGAUCACUGGCAAGGCCGGCAUGCUUGAUGAAAUCAUCAAUUAUGUUCAGUCUCUUCAACGACAAGUAGAGUUCCUGUCUAUGAAACUAGCUGCUGUGAAUCCGAGGCUUGACUUCAACAUCGACGACUUGUUUGCAAAAGAGGAAAAAAUGUUCUUAAGAAAAUUAUGCUCUUUACUCUUUUGGCGAACUAAUGAAGACUCGUUUGUCCAAAGUUCCGUUACUUGUAGUCUCAUUUCGCUUCAAAUCAGCAGAUGUUUCCUACGUGCGCGGCCAAUUUUCCGACGAUGGGGAUGUCAUCAGAAAUGACCAAUUCUGUGUAUCUUCAGUUGAAUCCAAUGCAACAAUUGGUUUCAUCUUCUGGGUUGGAUAUGGGGUUAAAUUCCACUGAUUUGGCACUUCGAAGAACCAUAAGCGCUCCGAGUUCGAUCCCCGAACCAUUUCUUGACACAUCCUGUUUCACUCAAGCCCAACCUACGGCAAUUUGGGAUGUUGAUUUACAGAACAUUUUCAAUGUGGAAUUUCAACAAGGAAGAUCAUCCUUUCAAUCGCAACCAUUUAUAGGUUCCAUUGAAGAUAGCAAUUUAAAGAUGGAGAUGUGAAUGAAACGUCACUCAUUAGAUUCUUGGAAGAGUUUACUUUGAUGCAUCUGAUCCAGAUUAUUUUCUCUACUCUCUUAAGUACAUAACAUAUUUAUAUAUAUGUUUGUAUCUAUACCUGCAACAUAGUGUGAAUAAAAUAAAUUUCCCACAAAAA